CUCCUAUUUACUUUCACUAGAUCUAACAGAAAAAUGUUUUAUCUUUGUUGAUGCAGUUGCUGGUUGUUCUAACAUUUCAGGAUAGUUUUUUUUUUUUUUUAGAUCAUAUGAAAGUACAUUUUGUCUCCUUGUACAAAUAAUUUUCUUAAAAUUGCAAGGGAAUAAUUAAUGCGAACGCUUGACAAAAUAGUGACUGGCGCCUCUAUAUUAAUUAGAGGCGUCUUAAAUCACCAAUAUCAACCAGGUACAGUUGGAAUGAUUUUUGACUUAUUGCUAGAGGAAUCAGGUAUUUUUUAUUUAGAUUUCUGAAUGACAGUAGAAGAAUCAGUCCUCGUUCGGCUUUCCGUUUUUUUUAAUAUAAAGGCUGACAACCUUCUGAAUCGUAUGAGGAAAUCAGCCUAAACGGCUUUUUGAGAUGUGGCUUUAUCAGAAGGUAUUUUCUAGUUUCAAAACAGUAUCAAAACUGUUGUGUUUCUUAUUAAAAAUAAAAACGGCUGAUGACUUCAGAUACGUUUCAUUACCUUGUGGACGCGACAUUCAUUGUUACAAGUCUGACAGCUAAGUGGGCGAGGGACGAACGACAGUUGACAAGACAUUACAGAUUAUAAUUACAUAGGUAUUUAAAUAGACUAUAAAUAUUAUUUAGGUAUUUUGUACUUAGAUUUCUGAAUGACAGUAGAAGAAUCAGUCCUCGUUCGGCUUUCCGUUUUUUUGAAUAUAAAGGCUGACAACCUUCUGAAUCGUAUAAGGAAAUCAGCCUAAACGGCUUUUUGAGAUGUGGCUUUAUCAGAAGGUGUUUUCUAGUGUCAAAAUAGUAUCAAAACCCUCUCAAGCUUGAGCUAUUACAAAAAAAGCUCAGAACACGAUACUUCAUUUGGGCAGUUUUCUAACUCGGCUUGUACCUGGUGAAUCUUCAUCGUACUUAUUUUACACCCUGUAUAUAUUUAUCAUUACUAUUGCAAUGUAUGUUAUUGGGCACUUAUAGUGCCACUUUCUCCCAAUCAUAAUAAAAUACUCAAGGAGCGUAAAACACAAGACAUACAAUAAAUCCUCCGUAAAAACUGUGGUUACAGUUUCAGAUCGGUUUAUUUUUUGUAUAUUU
rnacentral:misc_RNA from 1 species